GGUUGACCUCGGAUCAGGUAGGGAUACCCGCUGAACUUAAGCAUAUCAAUAAGCGGAGGAAAAGAACCAACAGGGAUUGCCCCAGUAACGGCGAGUGAAGCGGCAAAGAGC
rnacentral:rRNA from 1 species